GCCUGGGUGGCGGAAUAGGUAUACGCGCACGACUUAAAAUCGUGUCCUUGACAGGAUGCGGGUUCGAUUCCCGCCCCAGGCACUA
rnacentral:tRNA from 1 species